rnacentral:rRNA from 1 species
AAAUUGAAGAGUUUGAUCAUGGCUCAGAUUGAACGCUGGCGGCAGGCCUAACACAUGCAAGUCGAACGGUAACAGGAAGAAGCUUGCUUCUUUGCUGACGAGUGGCGGACGGGUGAGUAAUGUCUGGGAAACUGCCUGAUGGAGGGGGAUAACUACUGGAAACGGUAGCUAAUACCGCAUAACGUCGCAAGACCAAAGAGGGGGACCUUCGGGCCUCUUGCCAUCGGAUGUGCCCAGAUGGGAUUAGCUAGUAGGUGGGGUAACGGCUCACCUAGGCGACGAUCCCUAGCUGGUCUGAGAGGAUGACCAGCCACACUGGAACUGAGACACGGUCCAGACUCCUACGGGAGGCAGCAGUGGGGAAUAUUGCACAAUGGGCGCAAGCCUGAUGCAGCCAUGCCGCGUGUAUGAAGAAGGCCUUCGGGUUGUAAAAGUACUUUCAGCGGGGAGGAAGGGAGUAAAGUUAAUACCUUUGCUCAUUGACGUUACCCGCAGAAGAAGCACCGGCUAACUCCGUGCCAGCAGCCGCGGUAAUACGGAGGGUGCAAGCGUUAAUCGGAAUUACUGGGCGUAAAGCGCACGCAGGCGGUUUGUUAAGUCAGAUGUGAAAUCCCCGGGCUCAACCUCGGGAACUGCAUCUGAUACUGGCAAGCUUGAGUCUCGUAGAGGGGGGUAGAAUUCCAGGUGUAGCGGUGAAAUGCGUAGAGAUCUGGAGGAAUACCGGUGGCGAAGGCGGCCCCCUGGACGAAGACUGACGCUCAGGUGCGAAAGCGUGGGGAGCAAACAGGAUUAGAUACCUGGUAGUCCACGCCGUAAACGAUGUCGACUUGGAGGUUGUGCCCUUGAGGCGUGGCUUCCGGAGCUAACGCGUUAAGUCGACCGCCUGGGAGUACGGCCGCAAGGUUAAAACUCAAAUGAAUUGACGGGGGCCCGCACAAGCGGUGGAGCAUGUGGUUUAAUUCGAUGCAACGCGAAGAACCUUACCUGGUCUUGACAUCCACAGAACUUUCCAGAGAUGGAUUGGUGCCUUCGGGAACUGUGAGACAGGUGCUGCAUGGCUGUCGUCAGCUCGUGUUGUGAAAUGUUGGGUUAAGUCCCGCAACGAGCGCAACCCUUAUCCUUUGUUGCCAGCGGUCCGGCCGGGAACUCAAAGGAGACUGCCAGUGAUAAACUGGAGGAAGGUGGGGAUGACGUCAAGUCAUCAUGGCCCUUACGACCAGGGGCUACACACGUGCUACAAUGGCGCAUACAAAGAGAAGCGACCUCGCGAGAGCAAGCGGACCUCAUAAAGUGCGUCGUAGUCCGGAUUGGAGUCUGCAACUCGACUCCAUGAAGUCGGAAUCGCUAGUAAUCGUGGAUCAGAAUGCCACGGUGAAUACGUUCCCGGGCCUUGUACACACCGCCCGUCACACCAUGGGAGUGAGUUGCAAAAGAAGUAGGUAGCUUAACCUUCGGGAGGGCGCUUACCACUUUGUGAUUCAUGACUGGGGUGAAGUCGUAACAAGGUAACCGUAGGGGAACCUGCGGUUGGAUCACCUCCUUA